AGAGUUUGAUCCUGGCUCAGAAUGAACGUUGGCGGCGUGGAUUAGGCAUGCAAGUCGAGCGAGAAGUUUUAAAAAGAUACUUCGGUUGAUUUUUAGAAUGGGCAGCGGCGAAAGGGAGAGUAACGAGCAGAUACGUACCCAGGGGUUCGGGAUAGCCAUGCGAAAGCGUGAGUAAUACCGAAUAAUGUCUCCGGACCAAAGAUUUAUUGCCCUUGGAGCGGUUUGCUUACUAUUAGCUUGUUGGUGGGGUAAAGGCCUACCAAGGCUUAGAUGGUUAGCGGGUGUGAGAGCAUGACCCGUCUCACUGGGACUGAGACACUGCCCAGACACCUACGGGUGGCUGCAGUCGAGAAUCUUCCGCAAUGGACGAAAGUCUGACGGAGCGACGCCGCGUGCUGGAUGAAGGCCCUCGGGUUGUAAACAGCUGUCGUAGGGGAGGAAAUUUUGACCGAUCCUAGGAGGAAGCACAGGCUAAGUUCGUGCCAGCAGCCGCGGUAAUACGAACUGUGCAAACGUUAUUCGGAAUCACUGGGCUUAAAGGGUGCGUAGGCGGACUUGUAGGUCAGGUGUGAAAUCCCACGGCUCAACCGUGGAAUUGCGCUUGAAACCACUCGUCUUGAGGGGAUCAGAGGAGAGCGGAACUGAUGGUGGAGCGGUGAAAUGCGUUGAUAUUAUCAGGAACACCGGUGGCGAAAGCGGCUCUCUGGGAUCUUUCUGACGCUGAGGCACGAAAGCUAGGGGAGCGAACGGGAUUAGAUACCCCGGUAGUCCUAGCUGUAAACGAUCUGUACUAGUCCGUGGGGACCCCCACAUCUUCUCGGACGUAGCGAAAGUGUUAAGUACAGCGCC
rnacentral:rRNA from 1 species